AUUGCGUUAAGGAAGAAAAGUUGAGAUUGAGAACAAAAUUAUAAACAACAAUAUAAACAUAAAUGAUUGUGGGAAUGAUGUUGUCAAUAGUGAUGAGAGUGUGGGAAGGCAUGAAGGUGAGUAUAAUAGUGAUGGUUCAAAGGAAGACAUGGAGUCAUAUAAUGGUUGUGCAAAUAAUGUGAAGGGUAAAAUGCUAGGAAUGAAAAUGAUGUGAGGGGUACCGAUGCUAAGAAUGAAGUAGAGAAUUCAUAAGCAAAUGCAAUUAAAGGAAGAAAGAGAAGGAUGACAACUUGGAUGAAAGGAUUUUGUGAGUGGUGAGGAGUUAAGUGAAGGAGUAGAGACCUACAUGGUAAAAGAAAUUUUGAGUGAUGAUUGUGCUUCAUUUCUUGAAGCUAUAAAGCAAGAUAAAGGGAAGAAGGUUAUGGACAAUGAAAUAAGCUUAAUAAAAAGACCAGACUUUGGGAUUUUUAAGACAAAAUUUAAUGAGUUUGGUGAAGUAGAUAAGUAUAAAACAUC
rnacentral:lncRNA from 1 species